AGCUGCAGCAAGAGUCAAAAUCAGUUACGCAAGAAGAUAAGAAAAAGAAAGAAAUUUCUAGUACAAAACCUGAGUCUGCUAUUGAGUCAAGAUCAUUUAACAGAACAGAAUCUUCUCCAGUAGAGUCUUGGAGUAAUAAAGAUCCAGUGCCUUCAUCAGGAACAGUGAAGACACCAAAGUUUAAGCCUGAUCCAAAACUUAUGGACCAUGGUCAGUCCAGCCCAGAAGAUGUGGAUAUGUACAGUACUAGAAGCUAAGACAAAUCUGCUUACAAAUCUUUGCAAAGUAUUACAGAUAAGGGGGAGGGAAGAAGGGAAGGAAUAAUCCUUACAAUACAUACUCCGUGAGGUAUAAUUUAAUCAGGUAUUUUCUUAUAUCCCAAUUUGUAUUAUUGACUUACAUGAUUUCUGUUCAGUGAAUAUUUUGUUUCUCACUACUUAUGAGCAGUGACAGUUUGCUCAUUGUCAGUGUCAUUAGCGAGACACUGAGAAAAUGAGAUUUGUCAGUGUCCUCUCACAAUGAGGUUUCUCUGUGCCAAGCUUGUUAAUAAAUGUCACUUCACAAAGG